rnacentral:misc_RNA from 1 species
AUCGUUGUGAAUGUGAUGCGGUUGAUCAGAUAUACUGAAGACUUCCUUUUAUUAAUAAUUAUACAGGAGGAUGUUCCAUCUCUGUUCUACUACAAUGACUCCCAUGUUUUUGGUUUGAGUGUUAUACCAAAGAACGAAUCCAACGAACAUGAUAUACCAACCAAACUGCAGUUAGAGAACAGAUUCUUGGUGGCUGGUACCCUAGAGGAGAUAUUUAUCUUACCCUGCAAGGAAACUGCUCUACGAUGCUCCCAUCAAGGAAUUACAACAAUGAACUUUACAUAUAACCCUGCCAAACCAGCCACUCAGUUUGAGACCUAUUUAAAGCUGACGUUUACCAACCAGAUGAAGAGAGUUGGAUUACUUGACGAAGAAAUGGCCGCGGAUUUUAACUUCACCCAGAUAAAAUACAAUGGGAGAGGAAUUCAUGAGAUAAUCUCCAAACUGGAAAGUGAGAGGUUUAUUUUGCCUCGUGAUAUUUUCCUUGAGUUGAACACCAAGGAAGACGAGCAGAUUACGGGAGGAAAACGCGGGUUUGUAAAUGAGAAAAUCUACCAGGACGAAUAAGCCAAACCCAACCUUGCGCAAUUUCGCCAUUUUAAUAUAAACCGCGAUUUCAGUCUACUAUUGUAUCAAAUCUUGUUCAUUAAGGACAAUUUUAUGUGGUAACAUAAUGUCGGACAAGUAGGAUCCAUAAAUGGCGUUACAAGACGCUCGUCUACACUAUACAGAAUGCUUUUUAAAUAGACACAAGAUUUAUUUUAAUUUCUUCUUCAUUUUCCAUAGUUUUAUGGAUUGAACCCUGUUCAGUUCCCUCUCUUACAAAGAUGUAACGGGAAAGUUUCUAUCGACACAGUCGGACGCUUUUCAUUUUAGUCAUUUAGAAGUUGUUUUUUUAUAAUCCGCCUAAAUUUGUAAUUUUAAAAAUGUCGGAAAACUUAACAGUCAAGAUUUAAUAGAUUUCAACUGUUUGGUUUAUUGUGAAUUUAUUUCACAUUCAGCAUUGUAAUAUAACUAGAUAUUAUUAACUAAAUACUUAGUUGACAUUUCUACCUAUGUGUUAAAUAUUGUUAUGAUACUCAUUCAAUAAAAAGAGAACAAUA